GGUGCAUUAGCUAGUUGGUGAGGUAACGGCUCACCAAGGCCACGAUAGCAUAGCCGACCUGAGAGGGUGAUCGGCCACACUGGGACUGAGACACGGCCCAGACUCCUACGGGAGGCAGCAGUAGGGAAUCUUCCGCAAUGGACGAAAGUCUGACGGAGCAACGCCGCGUGAGUGAUGAAGGCUUUCGGGUCGUAAAACUCUGUUGUUAGGGAAGAACAAGUAUGAGAGUAACUGCUCGUACCUUGACGGUACCUAACCAGAAAGCCACGGCUAACUACGUGCCAGCAGCCGCGGUAAUACGUAGGUGGCAAGCGUUAUCCGGAAUUAUUGGGCGUAAAGCGCGCGCAGGCGGUUUCUUAAGUCUGAUGUG
rnacentral:rRNA from 1 species